GACGAACGCUGGCGGCAUGCUUAACACAUGCAAGUCGAACGAAACCUUCGGGCCUUGGGGCGCACGGCUGCGUAACGCGUGGGAACUUGCCCUUAGGUUCCGUAUAACUCCCCGAAAGGGGAGCUAAUACCGCUGAAUCUCUUAGGACCAAAGAUCUAUUGCCGUUGGAUGGGCGCGGGUUAGAUUAGCCAGUUGGUAGUGUAAAAGCAUAUCAACGGGUCGUUGCAGAGCUGGUCUGAGAGGAUGCUCAGCCAGGCUGGGACUGCGACACGGACCAGACCGCUACGGGACGCAGCAGUAGGGAAUAUUGGACGCGGGGCGAAGGCCUGGUCCAGCCAUGCCGCGUGAGUGAUGAAGGCCUUAGUAUUGUAAAGCUCUCUUACCCGGGAUGAUAAUGACAGUACCGGGAGAAUAAGCUCCGGCUAACUACGUG
rnacentral:rRNA from 1 species